UGGGGAAUAUUGCACAAUGGGCGCAAGCCUGAUGCAGCAACGCCGCGUGAGGGACGACGGCCUUCGGGUUGUAAACCUCUUUUGGCAGGGAAGAAGCGAAAGUGACGGUACCUGCAGAAAAAGCACCGGCUAACUACGUGCCAGCAGCCGCGGUGAUACGUAGGGUGCAAGCGUUGUCCGGAAUUAUUGGGCGUAAAGAGCUCGUAGGCGGUUUGUCGCGUCCGCUGUGAAAACCCGAGGCCCAACCUCGGGCCUGCAGUGGGUACGGGCAAACUAGAGUGCGGUAGGGGAGAUUGGAAUUCCUGGUGUAGCGGUGGAAUGCGCAGAUAUCAGGAGGAACACCGAUGGCGAAGGCAGAUCUCUGGGCCGUAACUGACGCUGAGGAGUGAAAGCAUGGGGAGCGAACA
rnacentral:rRNA from 1 species